AUGAACGCUGGCGGCGUGCCUAAUACAUGCCAGUCGAGCGAACAGAUGAGGAGCUUGCUCCUCUGACGUUAGCGGCGGACGGGUGAGUAACCCGUGGAUAACCUACCUAUAAGACUGGGAUAACUUCGGGAAACCGGAGCUAAUACCGGAUAAUAUAUUGAACCGCAUGGUUCCAUAGUGAAAGACGGGUUUGCUGUCACUUAUUGAUGGAUCCGCGCCGCAUUAGCUAGUUGAUAAGGUAACGGCUUACCAAGGCAACGAUGCGUAGCCGACCUGAGAGGGUGAUCGGCCACACUGGAACUGAGACACGGUCCAGACUCCUACGGGAGGCAGCAGUAGGGAAUCUUCCGCAAUGGGCGAAAGCCUGACGGAGCAACGCCGCGUGAGUGAUGAAGGUCUUCGGAUCGUAAAACUCUGUUAUUAGGGAAGAACAAAUGUGUAAGUAACUAUGCACGUCUUGACGGUACCUAAUCAGAAAGCCACGGCUAACUACGUG
rnacentral:rRNA from 1 species